rnacentral:rRNA from 1 species
AACGAACGCUGGCGGCGCGCCUAAUACAUGCAAGUCGAGCGAGAAGACGUAGCAAUACGUUUGUAAAGCGGCGAACGGGUGAGGAAUACAUGGGUAACCUACCCUCGAGUGGAGAAUAACUAGCCGAAAGGUUAGCUAAUACCGCGUACGCUCCUUGGACUUCGGUUCAGGGAGGAAAGCGAUACCGUGGGGUAUCGCGCUCUUGGAUGGGCUCAUGUCCUAUCAGCUUGUUGGGAGGGUAACGGCUCACCAAGGCUUCGACGGGUAGCUGGUCUGAGAGGACAAUCAGCCACACUGGCACUGCGACACGGGCCAGACUCCUACGGGAGGCAGC